AUUGAACGCUGGCGGCAGGCUUAACACAUGCAAGUCGAGCGGAGCGAGGGUGCUUGCACCUUAGCUUAGCGGCGGACGGGUGAGUAAUGCUUAGGAAUCUGCCUAUUAGUGGGGGACAACAUUCCGAAAGGAAUGCUAAUACCGCAUACGCCCUACGGGGGAAAGCAGGGGAUCUUCGGACCUUGCGCUAAUAGAUGAGCCUACGUCGGAUGGGCUGGGUGGUGGGGUAAAGGCCUACCAAGGCGACGAUCUGUAGCGGGUCUGAGAGGAUGAUCCGCCACACGGGGACUGAGACACGGCCCAGACUCCUACGGGAGGCAGCAGUGGGGAAUAUUGGACAAUGGGCGGAAGCCUGAUCCAGCCAUGCCGCGUGUGUGAAGAAGGCCUUUUGGUUGUAAAGCACUUUAAGCGAGGAGGAGGCUCUUAAGGUUAAUACCCUUGAUGAGUGGACGUUACUCGCAGAAUAAGCACCGGCUAACUCUGUGCCAGCAGCCGCCGUAACAC
rnacentral:rRNA from 1 species